AUUGAACGCUGGCGGCAUGCCUUACACAUGCAAGUCGAACGGCAGCACGGGGGCAACCCUGGUGGCGAGUGGCGGACGGGUGAGUAAUGCAUCGGAACGUGCCCUGAAGUGGGGGAUAACGCAGCGAAAGCUACGCUAAUACCGCAUAUUCUGUGAGCAGGAAAGCAGGGGAUCGCAAGACCUUGCGCUUUUGGGAGACGGCCGAUGUCGGAUUAGCUAGUUGGUGGGGUAAAGGCCUACCAAGGCGACGAUCCGUAGCGGGUCUGAGAGGAUGAUCCGCCACACUGGGACUGAGACUACGGCCCAGACUCCUACGGGAGGCAGCAGUGGGGAAUUUUGGACAAUGGGCGAAAGCCUGAUCCAGCCAUGCCGCGUG
rnacentral:rRNA from 1 species